CUCGUAGCGGAUGGAGCUGACGGGGAUGACGAGGUCCGGCGCGCGCCCGCCGGCGGUGGGUGGGGGCGGCUGGUGGCUCGGGUCCAGGCCGCAGAAGAGCUUGCGGAAGAAGAGGCUGCGCGCGGCCAGCACGCAGCGGUGCGCGUGCACCAGCCGGCCCUCCACGCUGAAGGCCACGUCGCUGAAGGCCUGCCCGUUGAUGAGCAGGUUCAGGUAGUCCAGCGACAGCGACUUGAGCGAGUCCUCCGAGCUCAUGAUCUCAUGUGCUUGUGCGGCCUGGAACUGGAACUGGAACUGGACGGCCCCCCGGUCGGUCCGGUCGGCGCGCGCGGCCUUUGUUUCCUGGGGCCGGACUCCGCCGCCGGAGCAGCGCUAGAGGCCGGGAGGGAUCGAUAAAGGCCGGCCGCGCUUGCGCGCGCGGAGCGGAUUUUUGGAGGGAUUGGGAUUGGGAGGGGGGGAAAGCGGAUGGAUGGAAAGAAAUUAAAGCGAGAAAGAAAGGCAGCACAGCACGCACGCACGCACGCACAGCGGCCGGGCGACGACGCAACUGUGUCUGUGUUUGUGUGGAGGGGAGAGGAAGACG
rnacentral:misc_RNA from 1 species